rnacentral:tRNA from 1 species
UAGGGAUUAGCCUAGUGGUUAAGGCAUAUGGCAUUCAACCGAAGGAUCCAGGUUCGAUUCCUGGAACUGUUA